AGCGGCAGACGGGUGAGUAACGCGUGGGAAUCUACCUUUUGCUACGGAAUAACUCAGGGAAACUUGUGCUAAUACCGUAUGUGCCCUUCGGGGGAAAGAUUUAUCGGCAAAGGAUGAGCCCGCGUUGGAUUAGCUAGUUGGUGAGGUAAAGGCUCACCAAGGCGACGAUCCAUAGCUGGUCUGAGAGGAUGAUCAGCCACACUGGGACUGAGACACGGCCCAGACUCCUACGGGAGGCAGCAGUGGGGAAUAUUGGACAAUGGGCGCAAGCCUGAUCCAGCCAUGCCGCGUGAGUGAUGAAGGCCCUAGGGUUGUAAAGCUCUUUCAACGGUGAAGAUAAUGACGGUAACCGUAGAAGAAGCCCCGGCUAACUUCGUGCCAGCAGCCGCGGUAAUACGAAGGGGGCUAGCGUUGUUCGGAAUUACUGGGCGUAAAGCGCACGUAGGCGGAUCGAUCAGUUAGGGGUGAAAUCCCAGGGCUCAACCCUGGAACUGCCUCUAAUACUGUCGAUCUCGAGUUCGAGAGAGGUGAGUGGAAUUCCGAGUGUAGAGGUGAAAUUCGUAGAUAUUCGGAGGAACACCAGUGGCGAAGGCGGCUCACUGGCUCGAUACUGACGCUGA
rnacentral:rRNA from 2 species